UAAUACAGAGGUGCCAAGCGUUAGGCGGAAUCACUGGGCUUAAAGCGCGUGUAGGUGGAUGGGUAAGUACCUUGUGAAAUCCCACGGCUCAACCGUGGAACUGCUUGGUAUACUGCUUGUCUUGAGGCACUCAGGGGCAGCUGGAACAAAUGGUGGAGCGGUGAAAUGCGUAGAUAUCAUUUGGAACGCCAAAGGUGAAAACAGGCUGCUGGGAGUGAUCUGACACUGAGACGCGAAAGCCAGGGGAGCAAACGGGAUUAGAUACCCCGGUAGUCCUGGCCCUAAACGAUGUCCACUAGAUUGUGGCAGCUCUGACGCUGUCAUGGUCGAAGCAAAAGUGAUAAGUGGACCGCCUGGGAAGUACGGUCGCAAGGCUA
rnacentral:rRNA from 1 species